UACGUAGGGAGCAAGCGUUGUCCGGAAUUACUGGGCGUAAAGGGCGCGUAGGUGGGCGCUUAAGUCAGGUGUGAAAACUCCGGGCUCAACCUGGAGACUGCACUUGAAACUGGGUGUCUUGAGGGCAGGAGAGGAAAGUGGAAUUCCUAGUGUAGCGGUGAAAUGCGUAGAUAUUAGGAGGAACACCAGUGGCGAAGGCGGCCUGCUGGGCUUUUACUGACGCUGAGGCUCGAAAGUGUGGGGAGCAAACAGG
rnacentral:rRNA from 1 species